rnacentral:rRNA from 1 species
UACGAAGGGUGCAAGCGUUAAUCGGAAUUACUGGGCGUAAAGCGCACGUAGGCGGUUUUUUAAGUCAGAUGUGAAAUCCCCGGGCUCAACCUGGGAACUGCAUUUGUGACUGCAAGGCUAGAGUACGGCAGAGGGGGAUGGAAUUCCGCGUGUAGCAGUGAAAUGCGUAGAUAUGCGGAGGAACACCAAUGGCGAAGGCAAUCCCCUGGGCCUGUACUGACGCUCAUGCACGAAAGCGUGGGGAGCAAACAGG